rnacentral:RNase_P_RNA from 3 species
GGACCGGGCUGGGCGAUCGCUCCGCAGGAAACUGCGGGGAGGAAAGUCCGAACAUGCUCCCGCCGCAAGGCGGGAAAUAGGUAGCGGGUAACGCCCGUCGUCCGCGAGGAUAGAGGUGACCACAGAAACGUCAACGCCGAAAGGCCGCGAAUUCCCUCGUGGAAUAGGUCCGCCGCGAGGCGGAAAUGCAACGAACAAAUCCUUACCCGCAUGCAAGGCCGUGCCCGACUUCGGUCGGGAGUGCCGCUCGAGCCUGACGGCAACGUCGGGCCCAGAUAAAUGACCGCCUCGGCCCUCUUCAUGAAGGUCCAGACAGAAUUCGGCUUAUCGGCCCGGUCCAACU